AGAAACAAUUCCUGGAAAUAGUCUGAAUUAAUCUAAGAUAAAUAAAGAACCUUUCUUUAAUUUUGACGUUUUUUCAGAAGAAGUCUUAGUCGCAGAAUUUUACAUCUAACUAAGAUGUUUGGUGCAGUAUUUCUCAAGUGAAAAGAUGUGCACGAAAACUAGGCGUCUCUCGUUGAGACAUCAAACUAGAGGUCUUCACGGAUCCACCUGUACCCAAAUAUCCGAGACCGGUUCCAGAAUUCCAAAUAAUGUCACAGGUCUGGGCCGGAUCUGAUAUGAUUGUCAUGGGUCUCAGUCAAGACAGGUACUACCUAUGUAACGCUUGUCAUCUGGGGAAGGAGAGGAGGACCAAGGUGCAGCGCGCUAUCCUCAGCCAAGCAGACGUCCCAGCUCAUGGUGCAGCACUUCUUCUGGAUCCAUGGACUUCCGGUGGACAUGGUCUCCGACUGGGGCCAUCUCCAAGAUUCUUAGCCCCUCUGCUGUUCAUCUUCUGUUGCCCCGUACCCUCCUUAUACAUCCCACUUUUCAUGUGUCUAGGAUUUAACUUAUGUCUCACAGCCCUUUGUCUCCUGUUUCCAGUCCCACCCCUCUCCCCUGUCUCAACGGCCAACCGGCGUAGACGGUGAGGCGCCUCCUGAAGGUUUGGCCGCGGGGUAGGGGAUUCCAGUACCUGGUUGACUGGGAGGGUUAUGGCCCAGAGAAGAGGUGCUAGGUACCCGCUAGGGAUAUCCUGGACCCAGCUCUCAUCGCUGAGUUCCACCGCUGGCAUCCCAGUCAACCAGGUAUGCGUCAACCAGGUGGCGUCCUUAGGGGGGGGGGGUGACUUUCACACUGAUCUGUUUCACCUGUCUUUGUGCUUGUCUCCACCCCCCUCCAGGUGUCGCUCAUCUUCCCUACUAUCCCCUGUGCAUUCAUUCCUGUUCUGUUUGUCUGUUGCCAGUUUGUCUUGUCUCAUUCAAGCCUACCAGCGUGUUUUUCAUAUUCCUGUUUUCUCGAGCUCCUGUUUUCUAGUUAGCCCGGUUUUGAUGAUUCUGCCUGCCCUAACCCUGAACCUGCCUGCCGUUCUGUACCUUUUGAUACUGCCCCGUAUUACUGACCUCUGCCUACCCUUGACCUGUCGUUUGCUGUUUUAUAAAUAUAUGUCUGUUAUUCGAACUUUCUGGGUCUUAUCCUGAGUCGUGAUAGCUGUGGACAUCCUAGAGCAAAACAAUCAACAUGUAUGUCUUCUUGAGAGUUACUGUAUAUAUUAGUGUGUUACCCAAACUGUUGUGACGUGUCAUGACGUGGCCCUUUCUCGGUGUAGAUCAUGGCUCCCCCUUUCUCAAUCUCUCUCCUCACCCAGUUUUAUUACCUUUGGUCGUAAAUACCGGACAGAAACCACCAUGCAGUGUUGAGGGAGAGAGUUUCCCAAAACAGAGACUUGGCCAAACUUCUAAUCCCCAAAAUGGGAGAAUUAAACAAUAUUGCUACUUUUGAGAAUGUGGUAAUAGUCUGUGGACAGUUAAGGGACAGUUAUGAUGAGUUGUUUCGUUUGAUGAUCUCAUGCAGAACAGGAAACACAUAUAACGGUAUCUCUUAAAGUGUACAUUUCCCAGCUGUCAGGUUUACAUUUAAAUAUUGUGAAAAGUAUGUGAUUAGAAAAACUAUUUUGAAAAUAUGUCAUGUGAUAUUAAUCUUUUAAAUGAGAGUAUGGAUUUUCAUAUAAAGAUUAACUAGUCAGUGGCCACACCCCCGUGAGCCCUGACAUCACAUUAGGCGUCAUGGACUGCCCUUUUCUGCUGUUAUGUAUAAAACCCACUCCUGGUGAAAUUCACAUCAGACUAAGCAAACCCCAGCGUGAGCUGAGGUUGCAAAUGUUUGAACUUCUGAGACCAAAACAUCCUGGAUGACGCUGGUGUGUGAAGUGGUUUAAACUACAACUCUACCAAAGGACAAGACUAUUCCACAUGGAGCAUUGGCUACACGGAUGGAAAUGGUUCAACUCUGAGACUAUCAAUCCCCACAGAAUAAGAGCAAAUCUUAGACAUAUGAU